UUUGAUCUAACGGCUCAGAACUCAUGCAUCCCUUGCUAUAUAACUAUCCUAACAGACCCCAUACCCUCAGAACACCCCCACUCUCCUGUCUCUCUCCCAAACCUCAAUCCUAGCCGCACUAAAUUUCCCCCACUGGCUCCGCCGCCAGUAAUCGCCUCACGGCGGCGGAGCACUUUCAAAUCGAACCAAACUCACCCCAGACUAUAUCCUUCUUCCCAUCAACCCCCAAUCUCUCACUAAUUUCCCCAAAAUACCUCUCAAAUUUGACUAAUUUCAGAUCUAAAAAUCUGAAAACCCUAAAGAAAAUCACACGGGACGAAUUCAAGCAAACAUAUGGCUCAAACCUACGUGAGUCAGUUACACUUGACAAAAUUAAUUUAUUCAUGUUGGUUUGACUCAUUUCAACCUCGCCAGAGUCCGGCCAAAUCCGGCCAAGUCUUUUUUUCGACCAAACUGUUACCCCCUUUGACUUUCUUUCUUUGUUUAAUUAUUAUUUUGAAAUUAGCUACCUAGGUUAGGUUUUGUCUUUGCGAUCUAAUCUUGAACUUUUAGUAUUAGGUUUUUCAUAAUUUUCUUUGAUCUAUUUGUUCAAUGCCUGUUGUUGAUUGAUUCUGAAUUGAUAAGUUUUGCAUGUUUAUCUUUUCUUUUUGCUAGUUUCUCUUGUUGUUAGGUUUAAUUUCUAGCUAAUUGACAUUGAUUUGUUAACCUAGGGUUUCAUGCUAUCUUAUUGUUCCUGGUGUUAGUUCCUAAUAUGUAUUAAUUAGUCGAUUUUCAUUAUAAGUAAUCAUGCAUGUUAGAUAUCGGAACUGUUUGUUUGAGUUUAAUUCCUGACCCAAAUAAUUUAUCCUGAAUUGUUACUAAUCAUAUGUAUUUUAGAAUUGAAUUACUUGAAUUCUGAUUUUGUUAGUUAGUGGAUUAUUAGUUAAUCUUAAAUGAUUAGUUAACUAUACCCAUUUAGGAUUACUACUACUACUUUUGAAGCAAUUCAAAGUUUAGUUCAGCCAUUAAUGUUAAUUAAAUAACAUUAAUUAGUUCAAAUUAGUCAACUUAGUUAUCUCUUAGGUGUUUAAUAUAAGCUGUUUUGAGUUGCCUGAUUUCAGGAAUUCAUUAACAGUUGAUUAUUGGCAAAUGAGGCCCAAUUAGUUAGGCCCAAAAUUGGCCAAUUAUGUAGCCCAGGCCCUGGAUCACAAAGGGGGAAUUACAGGGGUAUUUCAGGGUAAUUUAGGAAUUCUAACUGAAGAAUAUCAGCUAUAACUGCUUAGGAAACUUCUAGAAUUAAGAUAAGGGACCAAAAUAAAAUAAGAAAAGAUAUUAAGUCAGAAUUUCUGGGUAAACGGUAAAAUUUCAGAAGUAAAAAGGGUAUAAAAAUAGAAGAAGUUUCUAGAAAAGUGUACAGUUGUCCUAGCUGUUAUAAAAAAUAUGCUGAAAAAUAGGAUAACGAGGACAGCGGUACUAGAACUGUUAGGAAAAACAAUACUAUUUUUAGAAUUAGGAUAAAGAAUAUUCCUAAAAAAAUACCCACCCUAGGCAGUCUAUAUAUAGAUACUAUCAUUCUAAAAAUGACAUACAUUCAUCAGCAUUUUUCUGCACCCAAAAGCUCUGAAAACAAAAGAGAAAAACUCCCUGAAACCUUUUUCCUGAAAACUUUAAUUUUUCUGAUUAAACUUCUAGGCUAAGUUUCUCAUACUCUGAUUUUGGAAACAUCGAGUGUUGAUUCUGUUUUUCUGGAUUUGGUUUUACACUGCUGCUGUUUGGGUUUACCGGCUGAUUCAUCUUUAGAUUCCAACCAGCCGUUUCACUUGUAUUGUGACUUGUUUUUUACUGUUUAAGAGACCUAAUUUUCUUGGCUUGGUCUAUUUUGUUGUAAUUAGGUAUUUGCCUUGAAUCUAAGACUCAAUUUUGGCAUGAAUAAGCUGAUAGCUCUCAUCUGUUCUAUGAAGUCUUGAUUAUCUUUUGUCACGUAUUGAUUCCUUUACAUUUAGCAUGUUAAUUAAUAAACUUUGUUUCAUUUAAACCCCUAAGUUUCUUUUCUAUUAAUUAAUGUGUUGAUAUGAAAAGAGCAAAAGUUUAUGGCUCUACUAUGUGUCUGUUUGAACUAGAAUGUUUACUUUAUACUUAUGAGUAUAUUUCUGACUUAACUGAAUCUGAACCUUGACUAUUUGACCUUGUUUUCUUGCUGUUUUCUUUCUGCCUGCUCUACCUUUCUUUUAGUUGAUAAUAUAUUGUUAAAUGAAUUCUUUAUAACUAUUGAAAUUUCCCCUUUAUUUCUGAUGCUUGUAUGUGAGUGGCAAUAAGGCAAAGAAGUUUCAGAGUUGGAAUUGAAGGCUUGACUUGUGGGAAGCAGCUCUAUAGCUAAACUUCUUGCAAGCUGAAGCUGGUUCGAAAGAUUUUGUAAUAGCUGGAAGGCUCAGAAUUAAGAAGAAAAUUACUCUUAGCUUAAACUUUUCUUUCUAAGACAGAUAGUUGUAUUUAGAAGUAUAUUGUAGUUGAUGGACUGUCAAAACCAUUUAGAAUGUCUUACUUUCGAGCUUGAUUAUGUAUGACUACUAGUUUAAGUUCAUAACAGGAUGCUUUACUUUGUAAUAAGCAUAACCCCCAUAUUUGUAGAACUGUUUGAAUACAGUUUGGGCCAGACUUGCGAAAACCAAUCUUGACAAGUUUGGGCCCAGGCUAAUGGGCCUGGGCAUUAAACUCAAAUAGCUUGACUUAUGUUUCUUUGCAAAAUCGUAAUAGUGCAAAUUAAUCUCCAAACUUGGGUUAUUUUAUUUCAUAUUUUAAAUUUCCUACUUAAAGUGAUUUGGUUUUGACAAGCAUGUAUCAUGUAAGUCGUAGCUUAAAAUAUAGAGGUAGAUAGGCCCAGCCAGUAAAUAACCAUAACUGGGCCCGCCUAAUAUAAGCCCAACACGGGCCAGCCUUUGGUUAAAAUCGGACUCAGCAAGAGUCAUUGAAUCUCUUCAAUCCUGGAACAAACUCCAGCCCAAUACAGCUUUAAAAUUGGUGAUCAACCCUUAAUUAAAUGAGCAAUGGGCUAUUGUUGGCCCAAACCCCUUAUCCAAAUUGUUUUAAAAGAUCUUCACCCUAAGUUUGUCUAUAAUUAAACGUUUCUUAUUUAAUUAAUCUUCAAUAGGGACAUCCGUUAGCUUUAUUUAGUUAAGUACAAAUCUUUUAAAAUAAAUCGAGGCGUGCCAUUCACAAUCAAAUCACUUAAAUCUAUGGCCCUCAUAUUAGUAUUAUAACUUAGUAUAGAAAAUAUUUUUAAACAUUCGUAAUUUGCUUUAGGCACGUUUAUAAUAAAAUCGUCAUAACUAUGGGAACGAUUCCCGUGACGUAGUUAUGACACCUAAUUUCCAAAUUCGAGGGUAAUGUGAUCCGGCCAUAACUUCUAAUAAAUUUAAGGCAAAAUACAUAGGUUACCCCCUGAACUAUGGACCAAAUCCCUGUUACACACUUUUUGCGGAUGAUAAUAACCUUACACACUCAACCUUUAGAGGGUGUGUCUAAGACAUACCUCUUUGUCUACGUGGCAAGUGCGUGUUUUACAAACAAAAUAAAAUGUCUGAACAGUAAAAAACUGUAUAUCUGAUACUUUAUUUGAAGGGUCCAAAUUUAAUAAAACUUAUCCAACGGUUAAAUGAAUUUUCUUUUUUCCUUUUCCAAUAUCUUCCAUUUUUCAUUUUUCUAGAGUAAUCUGGUUCAAAUUGAAGAUAAAACCGAUGUUUACUAUCCAUUUUCUUCACUUUCAAUGAAGAAAUCCAAUUCAAAUUGUAACAGAUCGAGGGAUGGUUCCCAUGACAUGAUUCGCAAUGUGUAUCAAACAAACAAGUGUACGACAAUCAUAACUUGUUCCAGAAUAAUUUCAUAAAAGCGGUUAUAAAAGUAAAAAAUGCACAAUAGGUUUAAAACAUGUAGUCAAUCAGAUAAUAGGCCAAUUAUUAAUAGUUUAAGCGACCGUGCUAGAACUACGGAAUUCGGGAAUGACUAACACCUUCUCCCGGGUUAACAGAAUUCCUUACAUAGAAUUUCUGGUUCGUACACUUUUAAAUAAAGUCGUAAAUUUCCUUGAUUCAGGAUUUAAAAUAAACCGGUGACUUGGGACACCCUAAACUAUUUCAAGUGGUCACUCCAAAAUUUAAUAAAUAAUCUCAUUUCGAUUAAUGUCACUUUAAUUGAAAAAACUCCCUUAUAUCCCACCUCAGGCGGGAAAAAGGAGGUGGGACACUAUAUAAAUAUCUGAAUGAAUAAUAUGUACAAUGUGCUUUGACUAUACCCUCUGAAAUUAUUAUGUAUUUCUUAGGUUAGGAGUCAAAUUAAUCAAAUUCUUCAGUGAUUUUGGAAGACACGCAUUAGCUUAUUAUAAGUACUUAAAAUGAACUUCUUAAUCUGGUCCUAAAGUACGAUUCAAUGGGUAUAUACUUGAGAGAUGUUGGAGUUACCUGUACAAUAGGUUGGUGGAAUUUAUCUACCUUUUAUUUCAUAGUUAUUGAUUUUUAACUUAGAGCUAUUACAACCCAAUAGAACAAGGUCUUUUAAUAUAUGCUUUUUGAUUAGGGAUUUACAAUGUUUAUGUACAUUGAUUUUUGACCUCGCUAAAUUUUGUUUUUGGGCGAGAUAUAUUGUUGUGGUCUUCUGUUUUGUGCAAUUAUAAUAAAGUGAAAGUUGUGCGAUGUCGUUAACUGGCUAAAUGAGUUGGUGUCACGACCUACAAACUAACCCUGUCAUGAUGGCUGGUACUAGGCAAGCCGAUACAUUACCAAUACAAUUCGAUAUAUUCACUUCAAAGAUAGUUCCAAAGCUAUUUAAUAUAAAGCCUUCAUAAAGGAGUUCAAAUCAAAAUAAAGUGCAGAAGAAAGUCUGACAUCGGGGUGUCACUAGUCAUGAGCAUCUACUACAACCGUCUGACAAUAUCAAGACCAACAUAAUCUAGAAAUAACUGAAUACAAUUAAGGGUUGAUAAAGAGGGAGGAAAGCAGGGCUGCGAUCGCCAGACAACUACCUUGCUAAAUCCGAUGGAUCUACAACUGAAUAAUCAACACCCGCUACCGUGUCCAGAAAUGCCUGGAUCUGCACACAAGGUGCAGGGAGUAACGUGAGUACACCAACUCAGUAAGUAACAAUAGUAAAUAAAGACUGAAAAGUAGUGACGAGCAAUAAUGCAAGUAAAAUUCAUAUCGUAGAAACUCAGUAAAAUACGGCACGCUUUUAAAACCAUAUUUUGAAUCAAAUCAGCUUGUUUAAAACCAGUUCCACUAAAAUCUUUUAAAACAUCUUUCAACAGUUUUCGAAUAAAGUUUCAAAUGCAAAAGUGAGCAAAAUGAUGAAACCAUGAACAACCCCUUGGUCAAACUUUACUCGUAUACAUCCCCUAGGGCAAAUAUCACUCAUAUAUAGCACCUCAGGCGAACAUCACUCAUAUACAGCCCUGCGGGCAUACAUCACUCAUAUACAACCCCUCCGGCAAACCUCACCAUCACUCAUGCCUCCCAGUCACUCGGCACUCAGUAGGUACAUGCGCUCACUAGGGGUGUGCAGAUUCUGGAUGGGUGUAACGACCCGGCCGGUCGUUUUAUGAGUACCACUCCGUUUCUCCCAUUUAUGCUUCUUAUUGCCUUGUUCAGCUGUAUUUUGUGUUAUCGAGUUGGUUGGCUCAGGUUCGUAGAGGUUUUGGUAAGGUUUGAGACACUUAGUCUCUUUUGAGGAAGCUUAUGUAGGAAAAGUCAAUUGGAUAUUGACUUAUGUGUCAAAGGGCUUGGAUGUGAGUUCUGAUGGUUCGGAUAGCAUUGGGAGGCAAUUUGGGACAUAAGAGCGCGAUAUGAAUAUGUUUUUGAGGUCCGGAGUGGAUUUAGGCUUGAAUUGGCAAAAUUGGAAUUUUGGCAUUUUCCGAUUGAUAGGUAAGAUUUUGAUAUAUGGGUCGGAAUGGAAUUUCGGGAGUUGCAGUAGGUCCGUUGUGUCAUUUGGGAUGUGUGUGCAAAAUUUCAGGUCAUUCGGACAAGGUUUGAUAGACUUUUUGAUCGAAAGUGAAAUUUAGUAGAUUUUGGAAUUCUUAGGAUUGAAUCGGAUGCAAUUUGGUGUUUUGAUGUUGUUUUGAGCGUUCCAAAGAUUGGAAAAAGUUUGAAUGAUUUUAUGGGAUAUGUUGACAUGUUAGGUUGAGGUCCCGGGGGCCUCGGGUAAGUUUCGGGUGGUUAAACGGACCAUUUCAAGUUGUGAAAAGUUGUAGAAAAAAUCUGCUAUAGUGUUGCAGAUAACAGUGCUUCGCGUUCGCGAGUGGGCCCUUGUCUUCGCAAAGGGUUGGAGUCAGGAAGCAUCACAUUUGCGGGAGAGCAGACGCGUUCAUAAUGGUAGAGCUACUGAGGCAUCGCGUUCGCGAGGGUGUCGUCACGUUCGCGUAAGAGGGAUUUUUGGUCAACCUAAGUUUAUGCUUCGGGAACGCGAGAGGUUGACCGUGUUCGCGAAAAAGGAAUUGACUCCCUUGGAAGAAUGUUUUAAAAGCUCAUUUCCGCGAUUUUAGGCAUAAGUUCCUCCAUUUUUGGGCGAUUUGAAAUUUUUUGAAGGGGAUUGAAGAGGGAAUCGAGGGGGAACACUCGGAGGUAAGAUUUAUGGACUUUAUACUCAAUCCUAAUGUGUUUUCUACCUAAUUAAUCAUGGAAUUUAAACCUAAUAUUGAAGAACUAGGGCUUAUAAUUGGAGACCUAAAAUUAGGGAUUUGAGGGAUCAAUUGUGGUUGGAUUUUGGUGAUUUUGAUAUGAAUGAACUCGGGAAGUGAUAAGGAGUCUAUUGAUGUAAUUUUUACCGGAAUCCGAGACGUGGGCUCGGGGGUCGGGAUUGGCUAAUUUUUUGAUUUAUGUUGUAAUUUUAUUUCUUUCGAGCGAGCUUUGUUCCCUUAGCUUAUUUUGAUGGUUUUGCACUAAUUUUUGUUAGAUUUGGAGCAUCCGGAGGCCGAUCCGAUAGGCAAGGGCAUGCAGGCUAGAGUUCAGGCCGGAUAAAGGUGAGUAAUGAUUGUAAAUAUUGUCCUGAGGGUAUGAAACCUCAUAUUUCACAUCGUUGUGCUAUAUUGAGGUGACACACACGCUAGAUUAUGAGCAUAGGGUCGUGCACCAUUGAGGAUUGUGACUUAGUCCAUCCCGAAUGACUGUUUUACCGUGUAUUUGAAUGAAAACUGUUUGCUAUUAUCAUGUUAUGGUCCUCGUGCCAUAUUUGGGCCUCGUGCGAACUAUUUGGACCCUUAGAGGAUUUUUACUACUAUUUCCUCACUGUUUUGAUUUUAUAUCUGUACUCAGUCAUGUUAUAUUAUACUGUUUUCAUAAUUCAACCAAGUUUACUCUAUUUUUAAACCUUUAAAUGAUAUUUUGGGUUGAACAUCAUAUUGCACUGUGCCCGAGUGGCUUUUUAAAGAUUUCUAACUUAGUAGGGCUGAGGGCCUGCAUUGUGAUAUUAUUAUGGGAUCAGGAUGCACGCCGCAACAAUGUUGUACUGAUUAUGAUUAUGAUACCGAGGGCCUGAGUUGUACGCCACAAGGUGGCUUGAUAUGAGGUCGAGAGCCUAUUGAUUAUGCCACGAGAUGGUUUGAUAUUGCGCUUGGGAUGUAUGGGGUCCCUCCUGGAGUUUGUACACCCCUAGUGAGCGCGGGUACCCAUUGUGAUAUGAGAUUUAGCCCAAGUGGCUAGUGUUGUUGUCACGCCCCCUUUUUCUCGCGAAAUCGGGUUUAUGAUAUUUUUUGGUUGGGACGACUCUUUCCUUUUGGAAAGGGGUUUGCAUUUUUGAAGAGUCACCACCUAACGAUUUAAGGUGCGUUAGGGCACCUAUAGGGUUCAUUUAUAACUACGUUUGAUAACCAGAGACAGGGUAAAGGCUUGAAAUUAUCCUAAGGGGAAGGUGUUAGGCACCCCUUAGGAUCCAUUAGUGUGGUUCCCGGCCAGAUAGUUUUUCUGAAUUUGUACAAUUAGCAAAUAAACAAGUAUUGCUCAGAUAAUAGGGAAUUUAAGUAUAAAUACACACGUGUUUGAAUAAAAACAAAUUAAUGAAAAGCAAGAUUUUAAAAAGAAUUACAAUCUAAGCAUAUUUGUGAAUGUAAAGGGGGUGUCCUAGGUUUGUUUAUAAUAUGGANCANNNNNNNNNNNNNNNNNNNNNNNNNNNNNNNNNNNNNNNNNNNNNNNNNNNNNNNNNNNNNNNNNNNNNNNNNNNNNNNNNNNNNNNNNNNNNNNNNNNNNNNNNNNNNNNNNNNNNNNNNNNNNNNNNNNNNNNNNNNNNNNNNNNNNNNNNNNNNNNNNNNNNNNNNNNNNNNNNNCCCUUUCCCGUCUCGUGAAGGUAAUUAAAGCGAGGGAUGGUCUCGAUCCCUAUUCCAUGUUGUUACCCGUCCCUUACCAUCAGUCCUAGAGGAAUUUAGGACUCCUAUCCAAUAAAGGAAUUUCUAGACAGACCCUCAAGUUUAAAGGUAAAAUACUAAAGUGACAUAUAAUAAAAAAGUAGGACUUUAAUUAAAGGGAGCAUGGAAGACAAAUGAAAGGCUCAGAUAUACCCCCCCCCCCCCCCACCCACGUACACAUAAACAACAUGACCCAUACACAAUUAAGGUCUAAAUUCAGAUCCUAAGCAUGGUAUCUAAGUGGUAAUAGUAAAGUCAGAUUUAUUACAUGACUCAGGGAAGAAGUCCUAAUCAAGCUUGCCUACUGAUUUUAACAUGCUGACAGCUAAACAUUAUUCACAAAGAAGGUUCUAGUUUUUAUUUUAAAGUUGAUUACCUAAGACUUGCCUAAGCGUAAAAUAAUAUGCAGCAGUUACCAAAAUUAUUAAGAAAAACAGCUUGGAAGUUAUUUUACCUAAAGCAUGUUGUUCUAAAUGUUGAAAAGACAUGCAGGGAUUAUGACCAGUUUCACUUAAACAGGAUAAUCAAACAUGAGACUAUUUUUAUGUCCUUUUUCAUGCAUCAGUAGUUUAACUAGGUGUGACUGAGCGAGCAUGAACAAGAUCCUAAAAUAGGGUAUCUAACGUGUACAUAUGAAAAUGCAGAAUGAUUGCAAAAUUCCUAAAACAUGAUUUCUAAAUGCCCGAAGAGUUCUAGCAUGACUUCAAGACGUGUAGGAGCAACAAUUUUUCGUUGAUGCUGUUAUUUAGCCUAAAGUAGGAUUUCUAAGUGGUAAAGUGAUACCAAAUGAGAUGCUGAAACAGUAAACCUAAGAAUAUGGUCUCUAAUACAUGAGAUGCUUUGAAUGGGUUGAUCUUACACAUGGAUUCUAAUGCACGUAUAGGAAAUGUAACCUAAGACAUGGUUUCUACCCAUUGAUGUUGAUAUCAUAUAUAACUACCAUCCCUUUUUCACUAGCCAACCCCAAUACUUGUUUACAACAGAUUAUUACAGACUAAUACUGAAAUAAAUUACAUAAGUAGAAAAAAAAAAA
rnacentral:lncRNA from 1 species